CAGUCGCCGCGGUAAUACGAAGGGUGCAAGCGUUAAUCGGAAUUACUGGGCGUAAAGCGUGCGUAGGUGGUGGUUUAAGUCCGUUGUGAAAGCCCUGGGCUCAACCUGGGAAUUGCAGUGGAUACUGGGUCACUAGAGUGUGGUAGAGGAUAGUGGAAUUUCCGGUGUAGCAGUGAAAUGCGUAGAGAUCGGAAGGAACAUCUGUGGCGAAGGCGACUAUCUGGGCCAACACUGACACUGAGGCACGAAAGCGUGGGGAGCAAACAGGAUUAGAGACCCCCGUAGUCCCUGUCUCUUAUAC
rnacentral:rRNA from 1 species